CAGCGAGAAAGGAACGAGGCCUGAAUAUGGCAGCGAAUAGGAACUUGAAGCAAGUGCGGAUCGAGAAUAGCUCCCCAGCGGCGCCGCUGGGCAUAGUGGGGGGUGGUGGUGGCGGCGGCGGCGGCAACCUGAAGGGAUUGCGGGGCCUAGAAACGGAGAGUGAGGCAGCGGCGACCAUGGCGCUAGUGCCGAGCAAAGAAGGUGGAGAUGAAGAGCAGGAGGUUGGGUUCACCAUCGAUAUCAAAAGCUUUCUCAAACCUGGCGAGAAGAGCUACACGCAGCGCUGCCGGCUGUUCGUGGGGAAUUUGCCCACUGAUAUCACUGAGGAAGAUUUCAAGCGGCUCUUCGAGCGCUAUGGGGAGCCUAGCGAGGUCUUCAUCAAUCGGGACCGUGGCUUUGGCUUCAUUCGCCUGGAAUCUAGGACACUGGCUGAAAUAGCAAAGGCAGAACUUGAUGGUACUAUUUUGAAGAGCAGACCACUUCGAAUUCGAUUUGCUACACACGGAGCUGCCCUGACGGUCAAGAAUCUUUCACCUGUGGUUUCUAAUGAGCUGCUAGAACAAGCUUUCUCUCAAUUUGGGCCAGUGGAAAGAGCUGUUGUUGUAGUUGAUGAUCGUGGCAGAGCUACAGGAAAAGGUUUCGUAGAGUUUGCAGCAAAACCUCCAGCACGGAAAGCUCUAGAAAGAUGCAGUGAUGGGGCAUUCUUGCUAACAACAACACCUCGACCUGUUGUUGUAGAACCAAUGGAGCAAUUUGAUGAUGAAGAUGGGCUACCAGAGAAGCUAAUGCAAAAAACACAGCAGUAUCACAAGGAAAGAGAACAGCCUCCACGUUUUGCUCAGCCUGGAACGUUUGAGUUUGAGUAUGCUUCACGGUGGAAGGCUCUUGAUGAGAUGGAAAAGCAACAGCGUGAACAGGUUGACAGGAACAUUAGAGAAGCCAAAGAGAAACUAGAGGCAGAAAUGGAAGCAGCUAGACAUGAGCAUCAGCUAAUGCUGAUGAGGCAAGAUCUUAUGCGACGUCAAGAAGAAUUGAGGCGUUUGGAAGAACUUCGAAAUCAAGAACUUCAGAAACGCAAGCAGAUACAGUUGAGACAUGAAGAAGAACAUCGACGUCGUGAAGAAGAGAUGCUACGCCAGAGGGAGCAAGAGGAAUUACGACGGCAGCAGGAGGGAGGAUUUAAGCCAAAUUUCAUGGACAAUAGAGAACAGGAAAUGAGAAUGGGUGAUAUGGGUCCUCGUGGAGCAAUAAACAUGGGAGAUGCGUUUAGCCCAGCACCUGCUGGUAACCAAGGCCCUCCUCCAAUGAUGGGUAUGAAUAUGAACAACAGAGGAACUUUACCUGGCCCUGCAAUGGGGCCUGGUCCUUCCAUGGGACCAGAAGGAGCUGCAAAUAUGGGAACACCAAUGAUGCCAGAUAAUGGAACAGUGGUUACUAUUAAAAUCUUAGAAUGCAGAUGAAGGCUGGCUUGUGCAGAAUCCUUCUGCUAUCUUAUACAUACAAAAGGGAAUCCUAAACCAAGUUUUAGUACGAGGUUUUAAUGAAAACCUCUGGUGGCUAUACACCCUCAGAACUGAAGAUGGCUUUCUGCUAUACCAUGAUCAUGUGCAAAAUGCUGCUGUUCAAGUUGGAAUUACAAGGACCGUCAGGGACAGGUCUGCCAUGUGAGGCCUGAGGGAGCAGGGCCAUUUGAAGUGAUGGGAAGAGGACCAAUGUGGAGGUGGUGUGUCCCCCACCAGCACCUCAGAUGGGGAAAGACACAGCAGAAGCAUCUGAAUACGAUGUCUACUUGGGAUGUUCAAGAUGCCUUUUCCUGUACAAGGUGACGAGUUACAGCUUUUGUGAUGUUAUGCUCUUCAGCCUCUGGCAGCGAAGGUGGUACCUGGUGUUAAGCAAGGUUGAGCAUUUCAUAGUAAGCUGAUGUUGGCCAACUUUGAUGUGUAACUGAGGGCUUUGAGUCCCUUUUUAUCUAGGCUGCAUGGAAGCAGAUUUUUGAUCUCCAAUACUAGUGCUGGGAAAUCGGUUUGAUAAAAGGAUUAAAGUUUGUACAUGCUACAACAGGAAUCAGUGUAAAU